UCGAGAAUCUUUUGCAAUGGGCGAAAGCCUGACAAUGCGACGCCGCGUGUGGGAUGAAGGCCUUCGGGUUGUAAACCACUGUUAGGGGUUAAGAAAGGAUCGGCGUGAACAACGCCGGUCUAUGACUAAGGCCCCAGAGGAAGCCACGGCUAACUCCGUGCCAGCAGCCGCGGUAAUACGGAGGUGGCAAGCGUUGCUCGGAAUCACUGGGCAUAAAGGGCGCGUAGGCGGUUCGACAAGUCAGGUGUGAAAUACCCCGGCUCAACCGGGGAAUGGCGCUUGAUACUAUCGAGCUGGAGUGCAGUAGGGGAGAGUGGAAUUCCCGGUGUAGCGGUGAAAUGCGUAGAUAUCGGGAAGAACGCCGGUGGCGAAAGCGGCUCUCUGGACUGUAACUGACGCUGAGGCGCGAAAGCUAGGGGAGCAAACA
rnacentral:rRNA from 1 species